rnacentral:ncRNA from 1 species
UUUAAUAACUCCGAGCCUGCCGGGUUAAGUUUUAUAAUCGGCUGAAUAUCGUUUCAGGUUUUAUAAAAUAAGUUCGUCAGGCCGCUGGUUAAAUCUAACCAGCCAGGGUUGUGGAAGAAAUGACACGGCCUCCCGAAUUUGGAAAGGUGUUUAUGUUA